GACGAACGCUGGCGGCGUGCCUAAUACAUGCAAGUUGAGCGCUGAAGGUUGGUACCUGUACCAACUGGAUGAGCAGCGAACGGGUGAGUAACGCGUGGGGAAUCUGCCUUUGAGCGGGGGACAACAUUUGGAAACGAAUGCUAAUACCGCAUAAAAACUUUAAACACAAGUUUUAAGUUUGAAAGAUGCAAUUGCAUCACUCAAAGAUGAUCCCGCGUUGUAUUAGCUAGUUGGUGAGGUAAAGGCUCACCAAGGCGAUGAUACAUAGCCGACCUGAGAGGGUGAUCGGCCACAUUGGGACUGAGACACGGCCCAAACUCCUACGGGAGGCAGCAGUAGGGAAUCUUCGGCAAUGGACGAAAGUCUGACCGAGCAACGCCGCGUGAGUGAAGAAGGUUUUCGGGUCGUAAAACUCUGUUGGUAGAGAAGAACGUUGGUGAGAGUGGAAAGCUCAUCAAGUGACGGUAACUACCCAGAAAGGGACGGCUAACUACGUG
rnacentral:rRNA from 1 species